UAAGGAAUAUUGGUCAAUGGACGCAAGUCUGAACCAGCCAUGCCGCGUGAAGGAUGAAGGUCCUCUGGAUUGUAAACUUCUUUUAUCUGGGACGAAAACGGGAUUUUUAUCUCAAUUGACGGUACCAGAGGAAUAAGCACCGGCUAACUCCGUGCCAGCAGCCGCGGUAAUACGGAGGGUGCGAGCGUUAUCCGGAUUUACUGGGUUUAAUGGGUGCGUAGGUGGGCUUAUAAGUCAGUGGUGAAAUCUCCGAGCUUAACUUGGAAACUGCCGUUGNUACUAUAGGUCUUGAAUUAUCUGGAGGUAAGCGGAAUAUGUCAUGUAGCGGUGAAAUGCUUAGAUAUGACAUAGAACACCAAUUGCGAAGGCAGCUUACUACAUAUAAAUUGACGCUGAGGCACGAAAGCGUGGGGAUCAAACA
rnacentral:rRNA from 1 species